rnacentral:rRNA from 1 species
GAUGAACGCUAGCGGCAGGCCUAAUACAUGCAAGUCGAACGGGAUCCAUUGGGAGCUUGCUCCUGGUGGUGAGAGUGGCGCACGGGUGCGUAACGCGUGAGCAACCUACCCUUGUCAGGGGGAUAGCCCGGCGAAAGUCGGAUUAACACCGCAUGACAUUACGAGAUGGCAUCAUUUUGUAAUCAAAUAUUUAUAGGACAGGGAUGGGCUCGCGUGACAUUAGCUGGUUGGUAAGGUAACGGCUUACCAAGGCUACGAUGUCUAGGGGCUCUGAGAGGAGAAUCCCCCACACUGGUACUGAGACACGGACCAGACUCCUACGGGAGGCAGCAGUAAGGAAUAUUGGUCAAUGGACGCAAGUCUGAACCAGCCAUGCCGCGUGCAGGAAGACGGCCCUACGGGUUGUAAACUGCUUUUGUACGGGAACAAACCCCUCUACGUGUAGGGGGCUGAGUGUACCGUAAGAAUAAGGAUCGGCUAACUCCGUGCCAGCAGCCGCGGUAAUACGGAGGAUCCAAGCGUUAUCCGGACUUAUUGGGUUUAAAGGGUGCGUAGGCGGCCUAUUAAGUCAGGGGUGAAAUACGGCAGCUCAACUGUCGCAGUGCCUUUGAUACUGAUAGGCUUGAAUGCGGAUGAGGUAGGCGGAAUGAGACAAGUAGCGGUGAAAUGCAUAGAUAUGUCUCAGAACUCCGAUUGCGAAAGGCAGCUUACUAAGUCGUGAUUGACGCUGAUGCACGAAAGCGUGGGGAUCAAACAGGAUUAGAUACCCUGGUAGUCCACGCCCUAAACGAUGAUCACUCGCUGUUGGCGAUACACGGUCAGCGGCUAAGCAAAAGCAUUAAGUGAUCCACCUGGGGAGUACGGCCGCAAGGCUGAAACUCAAAGGAAUUGACGGGGGCCCGCACAAGCGGAGGAACAUGUGGUUUAAUUCGAUGAUACGCGAGGAACCUUACCUGGGCUUAAAUGUGGAGUGCAUUGGUGAGAAAUCAUCAUUUUCUUCGGAACUCUCUGCAAGGUGCUGCAUGGUUGUCGUCAGCUCGUGCCGCGAGGUGUCGGGUUAAGUCCCAUAACGAGCGCAACCCUUAUCGUUAGUUGCCAGCGGGUCAAGCCGGGGACUCUAGCGAAACUGCCGGUGUAAACCGAGAGGAAGGUGGGGAUGACGUCAAAUCAGCACGGCCCUUAUGUCCAGGGCUACACACGUGUUACAAUGGCCGGUACAGAGGGCAGCUACCUGGAGACAGGAUGCGAAUCUCGAAAGCCGGUCUCAGUUCGGAUCGGAGUCUGCAACUCGACUCCGUGAAGCUGGAUUCGCUAGUAAUCGCGCAUCAGCCACGGCGCGGUGAAUACGUUUCCGGGCCUUGUACACACCGCCCGUCAAGCCAUGGAAGUUGGGGGUGCCUGAAGUCCGUAACCGCGAGGAGCGGCCUAGGGUAAAACCAGUGACUGGGGCU